CCAGUCGGCCGGACGGCCGCGGCUGCUAUGCUCGAAAGGGUGCAGUCGAGGAAAGUCCGGGCUCCACGCGGAUACGGCGGCGGAUAACAUCCGCCGAGAGUGAUCUUAGGGAUAGCGCCACAGAGAACAGUCUGCCGAAAGCGCCUUGGUCGAAAGGCCAUGGGCGCAGGCGAUGGUGAAACGGUGGAGUAAGAGCCCACCGCCGCGACCGUAAGGAAGCGGGCACGGCAAGCCCCGCCGGGAGCAAGACCGAAUAGGGAUGCACGCCCUCCGAUGCCUUGGCGGAGGAGGGCAGCUCGUCCGUGAGCGCGCAUCCGGGUAGGUCGCGAGAACCAUGCGGCGACGCAUGGUCCAGAGGAAUGGUCGUCGCCGCGCAAGCGGUACAGAACCCGGCUUACAGGCCGACUGGCGUU
rnacentral:RNase_P_RNA from 1 species